rnacentral:rRNA from 1 species
AUUGAACGCUGGCGGCAGGCUUAACACAUGCAAGUCGAGCGGAGAUGAGGUGCUUGCACCUUAUCUUAGCGGCGGACGGGUGAGUAAUGCUUAGGAAUCUGCCUAUUAGUGGGGGACAACAUUCCGAAAGGAAUGCUAAUACCGCAUACGUCCUACGGGCGAAAGCAGGGGAUUUUCGGACCUUGUGCUAAUAGAUGAGCCUAAGUCGGAUUAGCUAGUUGGUGGAGUAAAGGCCUACCAAGGCGACGAUCUGUAGCGGGUCUGGGAGGAUGAUCCGCCACACUGGGACUGAGACACGGCCCAGACUCCUACGGGAGGCAGCAGUGGGGAAUAUUGGACAAUGGGGGGAACCCCGAUCCAGCCAUGCCGCGUGUGUGAAGAAGGCCUUAUGGUUGUAAAGCACUUUAAGCGAGGAGGAGGCUACUGAGACUAAUACUCUUGGAUAGUGGACGUUACUCGCAGAAUAAGCACCGGCUAACUCUGUGCCAGCAGCCGCCGUAAAAC